rnacentral:rRNA from 1 species
UACGUAGGGGGCUAGCGUUGUCCGGAAUCAUUGGGCGUAAAGGGCGCGUAGGCGGCCUGAUAAGUAGGGGGUGAAAUCCUGCGGCUUAACCGCAGGGCUGCCUUCUAAACUGUCAGGCUCGAGCACAGUAGAGGCAGGUGGAAUUCCCGGUGUAGCGGUGGAAUGCGUAGAGAUCGGGAAGAACAUCAGUGGCGAAGGCGGCCUGCUGGGCUGUUGCUGACGCUGAGGCGCGACAGCGUGGGGAGCAAACAGG